UGUGCAAGAGCUGCUAAGGACGAAGAAAUUUCGGGAAGUUCCUUAUCUCAGAAAAAAUGUGCGUUCUUCUUAGAAUCGAUGGAGAGUGAAGGAGGGGGUGGAAACGUCAGGUUACAAUGGUUUGGUGUAAGAACAGGAGUCCCAGGAAGUUGCUUGCUUUCAGGAAUUCAUCUCGAAGCUCCUCUUUGGUCUGGAGAAUUCAGAGAGAGUCUGUCCUACUCACAGUCGUCACUAACUGGAAGAAGCGUUGAUCUGAAUUUCAUCAGAGUCUGCAUACUGAAAGCCCUAGGACCAGAAGCUGCUAAGCAGAAGUGAGCCUUAUUCCUUGGUUCACCUGCUACUGCUUCCUUAUCAUACUGCUGCUUCCCUUUGUCUGCAAAAGGGAAAGGAUAGAGGAGUGAAACAUGCACUUAAAAAUUAUUUGUAAUAAUUUGAAGGUUCUUUGAAAAUAAUAUAGGUGAAUAUAGGAGUUAAAAUUGGUGUACAGGGGCGCCUGGGUGGCUUAGUGGGUUAAAGCCUCUGCCUUCAGCUCAGGUCA